CACCCUAAGCCCGUCCAGAAUUCCCGUUGCUAAACCAGCAGCUCGCGUCGUCCAUGAGGGAGCCAGACACUGAUCAGCUCACUGAUGACAACGAAUCACACGGCCUUGUUGCGUUCGCCGCAGAAUCUGGUCCGCAGCUGUGGUCCACUUUGAUAAAUGCAAAGAAAUUUAAAAUAUAAAAUCUUUUGCUUGUACGGAGUCACGCAGCGGUUUCACUGGUGUUAUAGUGCCAUUAUAAAAGUCAACGAGACCUUUUAACACCGCUUGGCGAGGUGAACGAGAGCUUCGUCCUUAAUUACAUUCACGCACUAAUCAUUACAUUAUCGAUUGACCGGCUGCGCAGCAAAGCAUCGGUUUGCAUUGAUUGCCAUAACCACGUGCCACACAUGCGUUUAACUGCCUAAAAUCAGCUUUCAGGAUCCGGGCCAGCGAACAUCGGGAAUCUUACGGCAGACACUGCUGCCUGUAGAAUCAGACUACGGCGAACUCCGCCAUUGCAACCAUAAAAGCAUUUCAGGGCUUCUUCUCCCAGCAGCAUGGCUUUGAUAUCGCUUCUAGGCGAAGUGGAGACCAAUCCACCUAGAGCAGAAGAGGCAUUUCUCAACAUGGGAUAUAACGUGGUACAUAAAAGGAGUACUCGAAAAAGGUUCCGGGAGGGAAACCUUUAAUCUCACUAUUACAGCCGUGCCCUCUGGACGGCUCUCUAGAAUCAUGCCCGAAAUCCAGGUGUUAUUCCUCGACGAAGACGGUCAACCCCUUAUGACGGAGACCGGAUUUACCCCAUAUCCAUUCAACGUUUCUGGCAACAGUGGCGUAAAAAACAUAACAAGCAGCCCAGAAUCAACUUCCCUUGUUCCGUUAGUUCGAAGUAUUGAUAUACUUGGUCUUAGGAAGAUGAACUUCAUUAAAGAAUCGAUUGGGGUAGCUCUAUAUAUCCGUAGAUCUAAAUAAAACCAAAAUAGACUUUAAGGUUUAUAUAUGUUCCUUGCGAAUAUCCUGAAAACUGUACAAUUAUUUCUUAUUCGCAACUCGAAUGAUGAGCUUAUACAUAACAUUUUUAUUUGAGAAGAUAAACAAAAAUGACUUUGUUAUAAUCGAUGGCUGCCUGCGGCGUUACAGUCUUAACAAAUCACGUUAAUGUUUGAAAGGCAGCUGCGUGACA